CAGGAGGCACAGGAGAGCCCCCAGGGGGAUAUUUCCAGGCUAUGCGAUCAGCCUGGUCAGUAAGGGGCCCUAUCGAAGGCUUCGCCAAGAGCUACGACCUGCCAAACCAGUUUGUAAACCAGCCCCAGCCACUUUGGGGUGACUUUGCACGUCCGGAUGAAUGCAAGUGUGGAUGCUCAAACAAUUCUCUCGAUGUUUGGUUUCCUUUUAACUUAAGAAGGGCUUUCACUUUUCUUCCCAUUUAUCUAUUUUGCAGCUGGUUCUUAGAUACGCUGCAGCCCGGCCUGUUUAUCUCGUGAGCUUCAGAAGGCAAGCCGCCCCCGCCCGCCAUGGCUCCUUCCCCGUGUGAUUACAUCUUUCCUUGGUAAUGGGGUUUUGACUGGCCUUUUGUAUAACGCUCAGCCACAAUGGGACAAGAAUAUUCUCCCCUUAUUUUUAUCAGGCGCUUUUAUUUCCUGAGCUGUUUUUGUAAGUGUGCUUGUUUCUGGUUUUGCUCCUCGUCUGGAAAGGGGCCCGGGAUUCUGGGAUAAGAUUAGAUGCCCUGGUGUGUCAACUGGUCUUUAAAAGAAAGAAGCAAAAGUUGAUCACAUGCUGAAGCUCAGGGCCAAUGCAGAGCUACCUCCCAAGAGACCAAUCAAUUUCAAUUAAGGAGAUUAAAAGCCCCGAGCACAGAGAGGCCCCGUCACGGGUUUCUGAAUGCCCUGCUCUUCCCGCAGCCUAAAAGCAGCCAGUGGACCCCAGAAGCACUGGGUAUUGUCCUCCGGGCCAGUGUCAAGACAACAGUGAGGGAGCGAAUGCGAAAGACGCAGCCAGCUGAAGGGGCUCGGUGAUUCUUCACGGGACCCUGUUGGCAUUUGGGGCAGGGCUGACCUCCAGCGUCCUUGACCCCGCCAAGCAUCCAGACCCAAAUUACUGGCCUAACCCAACCUAGUCCAAACUAACAGCCCCCACAGUUCCCAGGGGCAGAACCACCCCAGGCACCCAGCAGCCGCGUCCGAUGCGCUUUCCGGGUGGAGAGCUGGUCCUCGUGGUCUGUCCGCUCCCCUUCCGCUGGGCCAUUGCAGAGGCUCUGAGUCUGCUCCCUCCCCCCCCACGAGAUUCCAGGUCCCCUAACUGCUUGGGCAUCCUCGAGCCCACACCACUGCAGGGGAAGAGCACAGGCCAGAGCAGGGGUGCCUAGUGGAGGAGAGGGGCUUUAGCGCGGCACGGGGGCACGGCUGAGCCCACCUCUGCCUUUUACCGGCUCUGCACCGCCCCGGAGUCAGCACGUGACCAAGUUUCUUUUCAAGACCAGUUGCCACACCAGGGCACCCACUGUGCCUCCAGAUACCUAAGUGAGCCUCACUUUUCAUGUUUAUGAAAAAGGAGCUAUAGGGGCGCCUGGGUGGCUCAAUCGGUUGCUCGUCCAACUCUUGGUUUCAGCUCAGGUCGUGAUUCCAGGGUCGGGGGAUUGAGCCCUGUGUCGGGCUCCUGUACUGAGCGUGGAGUCUGCUUGGGAUUCUCCCUCUCUCUCUCUCUGUUUCUCUCUCUCUCUCCCCAUCCCUCUGUCCCUCUCUCCCUCUUUCUCUUUCAAAUUAAAAAAAAAAAAAAAAAAAAGGAACUACCACCUGCCUCUCAGGGUUUGCCGGGCUCACAGGAGGUAAUGUGUGCACAUCGAGUCCUGACAUCCCCAGCCACUGUCCGCGGGCAGGCUUUCUGCUUACAGCGGCACCGGGCAGGUAGGGGAGGCGGGGGUAGGAAUCACAGCACCCCAGAUCUGGUGACUUUUGUUCAGAAGCCAGUGAACCUGUUAGGAUCGGAUGAACAUGCUCUGUCCACUGUGAAUGCUGUGGAAAUAUCGAGGCUUUGUCACGGGAUCGGGGGCGGGUGGCAGGAGAACGGGGUGGGGGGGGAGGCCUGAGGCAGGGGAGUGUGCAGGGAUGCAGGGGAGGGGACCGAGGCAGCAGGAGCCAGCACAGGGCGGGAAGGAAGAAGGGUGGGAGGAGCAGGAGGCUGACACAGUUACUUGCUGGGCAGGAAGGAGAAGUGGUCGGGGUGUCAGCUGUGUGCACCGAGCCGCUACAGAGACCCUGUUGAGAGAACUGCAGGGGCCCGAAGCCACUGCUCCCCGGGCCUUCUCUCUGCGGCUUGUCGUCUGGCUGCUUUCCUCCCACCGGGCCGGCCCGGAGAGUGAAGGGGGCGGAGGGGAGGCUCGGUCCAGGCCGCGUGGCUGCUCGUCUGGUCACCUAAAGGACAGGGCGGGGCACUGUCGAAAGCAACUGCAUCCAGAAGUAUGGGGUCACAGCGCUCCCAGCCCUUGUGGGGUGCAUGCACCUGCCCAAGGUCACUUCAGUUCAUGGCAGGGCCAUCUCCUGUCUUCCUCUCCUGCACCCCCCGGCCUCCUGGGCCUGCUUUCUUCCCUGACCUACUUCUCCCAAGAUAAUUGAGAAACGAAUGACUAAAGCUGCAGGCUCAGGCCUGUUGUGAAAGGUUGGGAUGGCUGUUCAUCGACGUUAAAACAUCUGGACCUUUUUUUCUAAAACAAGAAAAAUAAGUCUUGUGCAGAUUGCGUUAUAUCAAGAUCGCCUUUUUCUUGAUACAAGUUUUUUUUUACAAAUGUAGAAAAAUGGAACUUACCAUUUCUGUCAAAGAGGAAACUAUUGCAGUAUGGAGCUUAAAGGAAGCUUUUAGUUGCCAAGGAAGGAGGCGAUGAGCUUCCUGGAGGAAGCCUCGCCUUGAGGUGGGACCAGCUUUAUGGGAUCCUGAGCCGCCGGCCCUUCCUUCUGGAGACAGAAAUCUGUCGGGUGGCCUCACACGAGGGGGCAUGCGGGUGAGGUGUGGCCUCCCCAUCAGGCAGUAGGAAGGGACUGGGGUGUGAUGUGCCCUGGGACCUGCCUUCACACACAGCACCUGUAUGGGCGGGGCUGUGUCCUUCGGACGUGGCUUUGUCGUGCCGUGGCCUGGGAACCCAGGCCGUUUCUGAUAAAGACCCGAGAGAAGACACGCUACCGCUGGAGGUGGCCCCAGACAGCAGGAGCCGGCCUGAGCCACAGCGACUUGGGCUGUCAGUAGCAGAGCCUGGGUCUCGGUCGGUUGGGGCUGUCACAACACACACUGUGACAGAAGAAGCCACUUCCUUCUCACAGUUGUGGAGGCCGGAAGUCUCAGAUCUGUCAAGGUGCUGGCCCAUGCAGUUCCUGGUGAGGGUUUUCUUGCAGACAGACACCUUACUGUGUCCUCACGUGGCAGAGAGAGCAAGAGAUCCGGUGGCUUUUCCUCUGACAGGGACACUAAUCCCAUCGUGGGUGCCCCACCCUCAUGACCUCAUCUAAACCUGAUUCCCUCCCAAAGGCCCCACCUCCAAGUACCAUCAAGUUGAAGGUCAGGGCUUCAGUCUUUAACUGCUCUCUCUGCCUCACCAUUACCUUUAUGCCUCCUCAGUCGCUUACGCGGACCUCUGGGCUGAGCUUCUCAAACUAUCCGUGGCGAAGUUUUCUUAUUCGCAAUAGGGGAUGACGUGUGGUGAGGAAAAUGAAAUUAUUGUGUAAAAAAGACAUGAAAUGCAAGCUCAUUUCUUUCUUUUUUUGUUUUUAUUAGAUCCCACUGACAGAGCGUUGCUGUUGAGUUGGUGUGGAUGCUGCUGAAUGCUGUCACCUUCUGUAUUCAUCUUGGGGAGCAGAACCCAGCCUGUGGGGGCCUCCUGCACAGACCGCCCUUUGAAUGGUACCGUCGGGAGCCCCGUGGGAUAGUCUGUCAGCCCCCACGUCAGUGGGACUCUGCCACUUCCAGAGACAGAGACCCGAGAUCGGAUCCCGGUGAAGAGGCGGGACUCCUCCCAAGGGGACAGAGCAGACUGCUUUACGAGAGCCAAGGGGCCCUCUUUCCCAAAAGCACUGGAUGUCAGAGCAGAGGGGCUGGGAAUCUGAACACGAGUGAAGGUUUCCCAGGAGAGACUCUCCUGGCAAGGCCGCUGGAGAGAGAAAGCUCACCUCAGCCUCCGACCAGUUGACCAAGUGUCAAGUCUUUCGUUAAGAUUUGCUGACCAAAGAGGAGAGGGACGCGGGUUCCCUCUGUUCCUCCAUGGUGUCCAAGCUCAGCAUGGGGCUCGGGAGCACCAGACAGCUGGGAGGUCUGUGCUGUCUGGGCUGUAGCUCCGUAAGCCUCGCAGGCACGACCCUGGGGCACUGGGCUGUCGGGAGACCAGGGGUCUCUGAUUCAUCAUCAGUAACGCGGCGGCGACAGCCCUGCAGUCGUGGUCGUUUGCUGGGGAGGCCCUUACAAGACCCCACAGGAUGAGUGGUGUAAACAACAGAAUUUUCCUUCCCCACCGACCCUUCCCUCCCGGCCUCAGAAGGAACCAGCUCUGCCCACACCUUGAUUGCAGAUUUCUAGCCGCCACAACCGUGAGGAAGGAAAUUUCACCUGCAGUGAAAUGGGGGGUGAGCCUGCGAUCCCCCCAGGUUCAGCCUGAUUGUAAGCAGAUUAAGGCUCAGCGUAGAACUCUCGUGGUGCGGCCUUCUGACGCGGCUGAAUGUGGGACUUCGACCGUGUAAUCUUUCCAAGUUAAAAUGUAUUUAUAAAGCACAGAUAAUAAAAAUAACAUCUAUUUAUCUCCCUAGGUGUUCUGAGCCUUCAGUGACGCUGGCAGCGAUGAUGCAUUACAAAACCAAACAAAUUAGUCCUCGGGACAGACGACCCGGGGGCAGAUCAACGACCACAACAGAAAAGACAAGCUUUCAAACCAACGAGAGAAGACAAGAUUGUAAUGCCUUCCUAACAACCUUGCUUUAUUGAUGCAAUGCAAGGAAAACUACAUUAGAUUCUAUUGAUUCUCUUUGAGAUCUAAUAAUAUGCUCUAUUCAGAUCUUAUUCACAUACACUUCCUCCACAGUCUUUCUCAGGAGCUGAAAUUGGCCAGUUACAAACAGAAUUUGUUCUCCUGUCCUUUGAAAUCACAGAAGCGGACGUGUUUUCGAACACAAAAGAUACGAAGCUUUCUUUGGGAAACA
rnacentral:lncRNA from 1 species